CGCAUCUGUGCAUGCAGCAUAUCAAUAAGCGGAGGAAAAGAAACUAACAAGGAUUCCCCUAGUAACGGCGAGUGAAGCGGGAAGAGCUCAAAUUUGAAAUCUUAAAGGGUUUCCCUUUACGAAUUGUAGUUUAAAGAAGUGUUUUCUGUUGAGGUUUUGGUAAAAGUUCUUUGGAAUAGGACAUCAUAGAGGGUGAGAAUCCCGUAUUUGACCUUUACUUUCAACUUUGUGAUACACUUUCAAAGAGUCGGAUUGUUUGGGAAUGCAGUCCAAAAUGGGUGGUAAAUUUCAUCUAAAGCUAAAUAUUGGCGAGAGACCGGUAGCGAACAAGUACCGUGAGGGAAAGAUGAAAAGAACUUUGAAAAGAGAGUUAAACAGUACGUGAAAUUGUCAAAAGGGAAGCGUUUGACACCAGUGUUGUUUUUCUGAAAAUCAAUUAAAGAACUGUUUAUGCUAAGUUGUUUAGACUUUAUCAGCUAUCUGUUUAGUUUUGAGCUUUUCUUUAAUGCACUUUUCAGUUAACAAGUCAACAUCAAUUUCUUUUGCUGUAAAAAAGCUUGAGGAAGGUGGCUUGAGAUUCGUCUUAAGUGUUUAUAGCCUCUUGCCUAUGCAGUCGGAGAGAUUGAGGUCUGCAGCGUAGAUCCUUCGGGGCUAAAUGCAUUUGUGCUAAGUUAUAACAUUUUAUAGACAACUUGUUGACUAUGAUUUGUCUUGUAGCUUACUCGCUUAUGUUAUUUUACCUACGCUUAGGAUGUUGACAGCAGUAUAGACUGU
rnacentral:rRNA from 1 species